GUGCGUAGACAAUAAAUGGGAGUUUUAGCCCCUAUCACAUCUAAAAUUAUGCGUAAAGUGAUAUUACUUAUUAACCAUACAUAUUAGAGACCUAGGGUCUUUUGAUUUGAGAUCCUUGGUCCAAAAAAAUGAAAAUAAUAUCAAGGUCAAAGGUCAAGGUCAUAUUCUAAAUUUUUUGAUUUUGGCUUAUUUUCACUAAUUUUC
rnacentral:lncRNA from 1 species